GAAAUAGAAAUUUCGGUCGUCAGCAUAAUUCCAAAUUCUAAAACGUUUAGUCAAAGUCCAAGCAAUAUAUUUUCAUGAUGCUGUUUGGACAAGUUUACCACAAAGUGUUACAUCUCAGGAAAACUUGCCUUGUAGAGGGAAAGUCAGAUUGUCCGUGUUUCUCUCUAGGAACCAUUUAAUAUCAUCAUAGAGAAGAAUACUAGGCCAAAUUCAUGCUGUAUUCUCUGACUAUAGAAAAUCUGCCAGGGAAAAGUUUUUCCACUGAUCAUCUUUCCCAUGCAGUGGAGAUGGUCUGCCAUGAAGGGUCCUUGAAAAUGGAUCAAAGUAUCUUCACCAAGUGAUAAGUCUGUGUAAAAUACCAAAUGAUAUAGGAUAAAGUGCCAGAAAUUGGAGUCAACAGAAAUGAGAAUUCUACAGAGUAUUUGACAAGGCACUGUUGUUAAGUGCUAGACUACAAGUUAAUUAACUGUCAGAGACGACACCAGUCACUAGCAUAAAGAAGGACCAGAGAGGCUUUUGUUGGAGGGAGACAGUCAUUUUAAAAACCUGAGAGCCAUGUGACAUUGAACGAGAAUUUUAGUUUUAUGAACACUGAAAGGUGUAAAAAUACUUGAUUGAGUCAUCAAAUGUAAACAUUUUACGAUGCAUUUUGCUCUUGCAACUUAAAAUGGAAACCUUUGAAGUGAUUUGUAAUAACAUAUUUUUAUCUUUGCAGAAUAAAUUAUAUAUCUUUUAAAAUGAAAUGAAUUCCUUGUUUUGUUUGGAAACAGGAAGUAUUUUUCAGGUGAAUUAUAUCAUAACCUUUUGUUUUGAUUGAUAUCAACAUGCUAAAAAAUAUGAAUAUUUAACACAUUGGAAACAAUAAAUGCAUCAAAAAGAUGUUUGUGGUUUUUUGCCAAAACUUUUGUUUAAUUUCACAAAAAAACUCUUGUUUGCAGACAUUUGCAAUUCCCAGUUUGACGGAUUUUUGAUUGUGAAAUAUGAAUAUUUAUUAAUCUUCUGACACCUGAUAUUAAAUGUUUUGUGGUGUACAUAUAACCAUUACCCGCCCCAAGUUCUCUUCGUCUAGGUAUGGUUAUGUCCUUGUAAACAUUUUAAUUAAAUAAGUGUUAUAUGACUCAUUGCUCCCCACUGCAUAAUGACAAACCUUUAAAAAGAUUUCUUUUGUUCAAAAAUAGAGCAAUUUAUUUUAUCAUUCUUAUAAUAUUACUCAGUUUUAUUUACAAAUACCUUUUCAUUUUGAUUUAACAGCAAGUGACAUUUUCAAUUUUUUAAACAAGAUGCAAUUAAUUCUUUAAGAAGGACAAAAAAAUAUAUUGAAAGUUUCGGAUUUGUAGGAAUUUCCCAGAUAAAAUUCAUUUCUCAAAGCAGACUUUUUGUAUUAAAUGUAAUGUGUUUCUCAUGCAUGAACAUUAUAUGGCUCUGUCUAAUAUGAAGUAGUAUUCUCAUCGUAAUUCACAUCAGGAUGUUCCAGUGAAA